UUUACAGAGCAGAGUGAAAAUACAACCAGCAUCAUGUACUGCAUAUCAGUACUGCUAGUUUUGGCAGCUGCACACUGUCUUUUCUGUAUUGAGCUGGAUCAGCCUCCUGUCAUGGUUGUAAAACCAGGAGAAACAUUUACCAUCUCCUGUAAGAUCACUGGAUAUUCAGCCUCAGGUGGAGGCUACACAAACUGGAUCAGACAUUCAAGUGGAAAACCGAUGGAGUGGAUUGGAUAUUUGUAUAGUUCCAGUAGCAAUCGUGUCACAGAUUCUCUGAAAAAUAAGAUCAGUUUCUCUUCUGAAUCCUCCAGCAACACAGUUAUUUUAACAGAAAGGGAUUUCAACUCUGAAGACACAGCUGUGUAUUAUUGUGCUCGUGAUGCACUAUGCCACAAACUGCCACAGGACCCGUACAAAAACUAAACACAAUUUUUUCAA